AAAAAAAAAAAAAAAAGUCCCUCCUCAAGCUAGGCUGGUUGUGCGUGUGUGACCGCGCAGCGUCCAAGAUAGGCUGCUAGAAACAUCACCAGCAUCCCGGCCAGCUGCUGUCCACGUCGCCGCUUCCACCCAUGGACGACCCAGUGGCGGUCACGGCUAGUCAGAGCACAAUUAGCGGGAAAGUUAACGAGGCCGACCGGGGGAGCAACACUGACUACACGGCCUUCGUGCUGGUGCCAGUCUUCUUCCUGCUGGGGCUGCUGGGGGUGAUCAUCUGCCACGUGCUGAAGAGGAAGGGCUACCGCUGCACCACCACAGAGGCGCCGGAUGAGGAUGAAGCGGAGCAGGCGUGUGAAGACGAGGAAAAAGAUCCAGAACUGGGCGGAGAGUUCAACGACACCCUCAGCGACAACAAUGACACGGUGGGACAGAUCGUCCACUUCAUCAUGAAAAAUGAAGCCAACUCGGAUGCCCUCAAAGCCAUGAUUAAUGACAACAGCAUUGAUUCUGAUGGCGCACCCGUCACCCCCACCUCCCCCUUCACGCCCUCGCCUCCCACGACCCCCAUAUCGCCCGGAGCGCCCCCUGGGGCCGCUAAGCACACCUGCAACCACCUGCACACGAUUGGCGGCUUAGGCGGCCACAAGAAUAUCUGCACGCGCUGCAGCCAGAAAAAGUGGCCGCUCAUGAGCAAGCCGGCAGCCCGCAAGGCGGAGCCACGCCGCAGCCUCCUCGGCGAAGUCACGGUGCUGUCCGUGGGCAGGUUCCGUGUGACAAAGUGUGAGAAACCUACCAGGGAACGGCGGAUUAUGUUCACAGCGGAUUCCAACGGGAGCGUUCCGUCCGAAGAUGCUGUGUCAAAUAGCCGGACAGUGUCCGAGUCCCAAGAGAAAGCCUGACUAAAACCAAGCCAUCCCUUGGGAAAUAAUGACAAUCCAAAGGAAUGAAAGGCCGAGUCGCACAUUUUUUUCAGAGCUGGGAGAAAAUUUGGGAGGAGAAAGUCAACUUGGACAAGGACAAAUGAGGAAAAAUCCAGCCUCUUCCACGAGAAGACACUUCUUAAGCCUCCCGACGCAAACGUCGACACAUAAGAGCAAUAUCAAGUGUGUGCGCACCCCCUCACGCCCCCACGCAUCCUUCCCCAACGGGACCAGAGACGUGCAGUCACACAAACCUCUUAUUUACCAGCUACGGAGGAGAACGCAAGUGUUCCUUUCUCAUUUAAUAUCCACACGUCAAAAGGCAGGAAGCAAACGUGCGUGCCAAAUUCCACUCGAUUUAAUAAGACUCGGUCAAUCGGUACGAGGAGUCGGACGGAGACAGGAAGUAAGGAUACGAUCAUGUCGUGGCCUCAGGAAGUUGGUCGUCAUAAAGGAACAUAAGCGUCAUAUCGUGCUCCAGCUAGAACUAUAUCGAGUAUUGCAAACGUGUAAAGAAUCGCUUCUAUGUGCCAGUGAAAUAUUUUU